rnacentral:rRNA from 1 species
UACGGGGGGGGCAAGCGUUGUUCGGAAUUACUGGGCGUAAAGGGCUCGUAGGUUGCCAACUAAGUCAGACGUGAAAUCCCUCGGCUUAACCGGGGAACUGCGUCUGAUACUGGAUGGCUUGAGUUCGGGAGAGGGAUGCGGAAUUCCAGGUGUAGCGGUGAAAUGCGUAGAUAUCGGGAGGAAUACCAGUGGCGAAGGCGGCUUCCUGGCCUGUUCUUGACGCUGAGGCGCGAAAGCUGGGGGAGCAAACGGG